GACGUAGGGUGCAAGCGUUGUCCGGAUUUACUGGGCGUAAAGAGCGCGUAGGCGGCUCGUUAAGUGUGAAGUGAAAUCUCUAGGGCUCAACCCAGAAACUGCUUUACAUACUGGCGAGCUGGAGUGAUGCAGAGGUUUGUGGAAUUCCUGGUGUAGCGGUGAAAUGCGUUGAUAUCAGGAGGAACACCGAUGGCGAAGGCAGCAAACUGGGCAUCAACUGACGCUGAGGCGCGAAAAGCGUGGGGUAGCAAACAGG
rnacentral:rRNA from 1 species